rnacentral:rRNA from 1 species
AGUGAAUAGAUACCCUGGUAGUCCAUGCCGUAAACGAUGUGCACUAGGGAGAGGAUGGGUCCUAAACUCAUUCCCUCCCCAAAGCAAAAGCGUUAAGUGCACCGCCUGGGGAGUAUGCUCGCAAGGGUAAAACUCAAAGGAAUUGACGGGGGCUCACACAAGCGGUGGAGCAUGUGGUUCAAUUCGAAGCAACGCGAAGAACCUUACCAGGCCUAGACAUCAGGAUGUAACCGGCAGAAACGUCGGCCAACUCGCAAGAGAAAUCCUGUGCAGGUGUUGCAUGGCUGUCGUCAGCUCGUGUCGUGAGAUGUCGGGUUAAGUCCCAUAACGAGCGAAACCCCUGCCGUUAGUUGCUAACAGGUCAUGCUGAGCACUCUAGCGGGACUGCCUCGUAAGACGGAGGAAGGUGGGGACGACGUCAAGUCAUCAUGGCCCUUACGGCCUGGGCUACACACGUGCUACAAUGGGUGGUACAAAGAGAUCCGAAACGGCGACGUCAAGGAAA